UUGAGGGAUAGUUCCAGGGCUAUAAGUUUAUAAUCUAACUUGCCAUCAUUAAAUUACAGAGAGACAAGAGGAAAGACAUCCAAGACUGAUAGACCAGGGGUGGUGGGACUUCUGUGACCUCCGGCAUAAUGAACGUGAAAAAAGAGAGAACGAUAUGCCGUCUGGUCCCAUUAAAUGUCCAAUUUGCAUGGAGAUCUACUCGGAGAUUUUGCGACAGGGAAAGCAGCUUACUUCAACCACUUGUGGACAUCUAUUCUGCUGUUGCUGCCUGUUCAUCGCCCUUCAGAGUACACCACGCUGCCCUGUCUGCAGGGAAGAAACGCUCCCUGAAUAUUGUC